AACGAACGCUGGCGGCAUGCCUAAUACAUGCAAGUCGAACGAGAUCUUCGGAUCUAGUGGCGCACGGGUGCGUAACGCGUGGGAAUCUGCCCUUGGGUUCGGAAUAACUUCUGGAAACGGAAGCUAAUACCGGAUGAUGACGUAAGUCCAAAGAUUUAUCGCCCAAGGAUGAGCCCGCGUAGGAUUAGCUAGUUGGUGGGGUAAAGGCUCACCAAGGCGACGAUCCUUAGCUGGUCUGAGAGGAUGAUCAGCCACACUGGGACUGAGACACGGCCCAGACUCCUACGGGAGGCAGCAGUAGGGAAUAUUGGACAAUGGGCGAAAGCCUGAUCCAGCAAUGCCGCGUGAGUGAUGAAGGCCUUAGGGUUGUAAAGCUCUUUUACCCGGGAUGAUAAUGACAGUACCGGGAGAGUAAGCUCCGGCUAACUCCGUGCCAGCAGCCGCCGUAAUAC
rnacentral:rRNA from 1 species